rnacentral:rRNA from 1 species
GACGAACGCUGGCGGCGUGCUUAACACAUGCAAGUCGAACGGAAAGGCCCUGCUUUUGUGGGGUGCUCGAGUGGCGAACGGGUGAGUAACACGUGAGUAACCUGCCCUUGACUUUGGGAUAACUUCAGGAAACUGGGGCUAAUACCGGAUAGGAGCUCCUGCUGCAUGGUGGGGGUUGGAAAGAUUCGGCGGUUGGGGAUGGACUCGCGGCUUAUCAGCUUGUUGGUGGGGUAGUGGCGUACCAAGGCUUUGACGGGUAGCCGGCCUGAGAGGGUGACCGGCCACCUGGGGACUGCGAGACGGCCCAGACUGCUACGGGAGGCAGCAGGCGGGAAUAUUGCACAAUGGGGGGAAGCCUGAUGCAGCAACGCCGCGUGCGGGAUGACGGCCUUCGGGUUGUAAACCGCUUUCGCCGGUGACGAAGCGUGAGUGACGGUAAUGGGUAAAGAAGCACCGGCUAACUACGUG